GAUGAACGCUGGCGGCGUGCCUAAUACAUGCAAGUCGAGCGAAGCGGGGACGGGUGAGUAACACGUGGAUAACCUCCUAUAAGACUGGGCUAACAUCGGGAAAACGGAGCUAAAACGGAUACUGAUAGAUGGAUCCGCGCUGCAUUAGCUAGUUGGUAAGGUAACGGCUUACCAAGGAAACGCUGCAUAGACGACCUGAGAGGGUGAUCGUCCACCCUGCAACUGAGACACGGUCCAGACUCCUACGGGAGGCAGCAGUAGGGAAUCUUCCGCAAUGGGCGAAAUCCUGACGUCGCAACGCCGCGUGAGUGAUGAAGGUCUUCGGAUCGUAAACCUCUGUUCUUAGGGAAGCGGUACCUACCCAGAAAGCCACGGCUAACUACGUGCCAGCAGCCGCGGUAAUAC
rnacentral:rRNA from 1 species